rnacentral:rRNA from 1 species
UACGUAGGCAGCAAGCGUUGUUCGGAGUUACUGGGCGUAAAGAGUGCGUAGGCGGUGCUCUAAGUUUGGUGUGAAAUCUCCCGCUUAACUGGGAGGGUGCGCCGAAAACUGGAGUGCUUGAGUAUGGGAGAGGCAAGCGGAAUUCCUGGUGUAGCGGUGAAAUGCGUAGAUAUCUGGAGGAACACCGGUGGCGAAGGCGGGUUUCUGGACAGUUACUGACGCUGAGGCACGAAGGCCAGGGGAGCAAACGGG